GUUUUUUUUGAUCCGUUGCAUAUCAAAGCUUCAUUCAGACGAUGGACUGUCUUGCUCUACUUCGAAAUCGAAACAGGUGAGUCGUGUCCUUUUUAGGAUUGAACCAACUGAAGUGAAACCAAGAUACAGUUUCUGCAGCACUUAUGAGCAAAUUGUACAGGGGAAAGACAGGCGGCUGCUGCAGAACAAGGGAAGGAGUAGCAGCUAUCUGCUGUUUCAGUUGUUUAUGUGCGCUGAAGAUUGUUCGCACCCGUACCCUGAAGAAAGAAGGCAAAAUAAUCCAUAACUAUUUCUUGAUAAUAAAGUAAAUAGACAUAGAUAUAUAGCUCAUUGGCUCCAUCACGUUAGUUUGCUAAAUAAGUUAUAUGGAUCCUUGCAAACACAAGAUAGAUUCUAGAUAUACCUGGGAUAUGUUCAUCCGGGUUCAGUUAAUAAGUGCAUUAGUCAACAUUGUGGUGCAAUGACAGAAUCUGUUGUCCACAACUUCACCUGCCAUAUCCUUAAGGGUCUUGAUUUCCUAUAGAGCCAAAAAAGUAUGCAUAGAUCUGGAAAUAGGUUUAAAGGAAAGAUUUAGAAGGUGAAGGAGCUGAUAAAGAGCAUGCUAAAUUCUCACUGUCUUAAUCAUUUUUGGUGUACAAUGCAAUUCAUGUAUAGGUUUGGUGCUUUGUGCUGACAAGAAUUCUCUGAUUGGCAUCAUUUGCAGAAACUGUGGUGAUCCAGGACGCUUUCAAGAUUACAAGUUCAGUAGUGGCAACUUGAACUUAUGUAAGAAUAAACAGGAUGAUUUUUCAUUCUGAAGAGUUUCCUAACUGUUGACUUUAAGCCUUCAUAGUUACAUCGUGGGAUUAUGAAUAAGAUGGUGCUAAUUAUAUUUUGA